UUACACCCUCGGAGGCGCUGGAACGGUAGGAGAGAACAUCGCUCCCUCCCCUAGAGUCUGCGAUCGCUGCGGCGCGGGUCGGGAAGGAGCGGGGGAGGGGCCGCACGACCGGGGGAUCAUCCAGGACUCCUGCCGCUGAUUCAGUGGAGACCCGACGGGGGGAAAGCUUCCGUCCACGGGGACCCCAUAAAUCAAGGGCCUUGGAAGACCAGAGAACAGAACUGAUCUGAACCCAGACCAGCACGUCAUGGUUUGACAAGCGGUACUAGAUCCACACCAGGGAUCCGAACCUGCAAACCCUGGGCUACCAAAGCAGAGUGCACAAACCUAACCACUACACCACCAGGCCAGCCGGCUUCAUUACAUCUUGAAUGAAGGAACCGAAGAAGCACAAGAUGGUGUAGUAACGCGAUAAGCU
rnacentral:lncRNA from 1 species